rnacentral:rRNA from 1 species
GACGAACCGUGCGAACGUUGUUCGGAUUCAUUGGGCGUAAAGGGUGCGUAGGCGGCGCGGUAAGUCGGGUGUGAAAUCUUGGAGCUUAACUCCGAAACUGCAUUCGAUACUGCCGUGCUUGAGGACUGGAGAGGAGACUGGAAUUUACGGUGUAGCGGUGAAAUGCGUAGAUAUCGUAAGGAAGACCAGUGGCGAAGGCGGGUCUCUGGACAGUUCCUGACACUGAGGCACGAAGGCCAGGGGAGCAAACGGG